UGCACACAUGUAUGAUCAGACAUUCAAAGGUUUGCAGCCUUGAACAAGUGAACUGCACUAAAAUCAAUACCUAUAGAACGAUUGAAAAACAUCUACACAAGGAAAAAAGGGGAAUUAAUAUCUUUUUUUAUAUCAAUUCAUUUGGGAUUUGUCGAAAAGAUGGGUGCCAUACUCCUCAUUCUUUUCCUCAUUGCAAGUGCAGCAACAACUACAGCAGAAAACACAACAACACCAGUCGCAACAACCCCUGCUGCAGCAGCAACAACUACAACACCAGUCACAACAAC